rnacentral:antisense_RNA from 1 species
CUUGAUCGAGCCGAGCAGCAGCGGGUGCGCCCGGUCGCGGCCGUAGGUGGCGAGCAGCGCCUGCGCUUC